CGCCUAACAGCUAGCCCACCCACACAACCCCAACAAACCACCAUUAAUAACCCCCUAAGUACACUAGAGUUUAUUUAAACAAACCAUUUUUCCCCCUAAGUAUAGGCGAUAGAAAAGGGCUUACGGCGCAAUAGAGAAAGUACCGCAAGGGAAAGCUGAAAAAGAAGUGAAAGAAAUCAGUAAAGCCUAGAGAAGCAGAGAUUAAAGCUCGUACCUUUUGCAUCAUGAUUUAGUGAGUGUAUACCAAGCAAAGAGUACUUUAGUUUGACGCCCCGAAACUAAGUGAGCUACUCCAAGACAGCCUAUUAAUAGGGCACACCCGUCUCUGUGGCAAAAGAGUGGGACGAGCUUUGAGUAGAGGUGACAGACCUACCGAACUUAGUUAUAGCUGGUUGUUCAAGAAAUGAAUAGAAGUUCAGCCUUAUGGCUUCUCACUUCACCUUAGUUUUACCCCUACUGAUGCAUAGAGAAACCACAAGAGUUAGUCAAAGGGGGUACAGCCCCUUUGAACCAAGACACAACUUUCCCAGGAGGGUAAAGAUCAUA
rnacentral:rRNA from 1 species